rnacentral:rRNA from 1 species
UACGUAGGGUGCAAGCGUUGUCCGGAAUUAUUGGGCGUAAAGAGCUUGUAGGCGGUUUGUCGCGUCUGCUGUGAAAUUUCGGGGCUCAACCCCGAACUUGCAGUGGGUACGGGCAGACUAGAGUGUGGUAGGGGGAGACUGGAAUUCCUGGUGUAGCGGUGAAAUGCGCAGAUAUCAGGAGGAACACCAAUGGCGAAGGCAGCUCGCUGGGACGUUACUGACGCUGAGACGCGAAAGCGUGGGGAGCAAACAGG